rnacentral:lncRNA from 1 species
GCCAAUCGGAAGUUAGCUGGUGGCGCUAUGCUUUACGACCCUGGGUGUGCUUUACGGACAAGCGCACGACAAUGACGUAGAGAGCAUAGCAACCACCCUGGGAGGGCCUAUGAGCCAUAACAACCAGUUGACCAAUCAACACAGGGCAAGCCCUCCAAGCCUGGAGGCACACCAAUCGUGAGCCUGUGCGUACCCCUAGACACUCCCCUUACGCUGCCCUAUAAGAUCUUUUGGGAGACCCAAGGAGCCGUCUUUUUCUAGCCGUCUGCCAUGGCGGGUGGGUGAAAGACCCGAGCUAACAUGGGGUUAGUUCGUUAAAUUACAAUAAAGCCUCAUGCAGUUUGCAUCAAGCUUUCGCCUCCAUUCUGUGUUUGGGGUGGCCGCCGUCCUGGACUAAGAUUCUGAAAGCCUCAGCUUUCUGAGGGUCUUACAUUUUGGGGGCUCGUCCUGGAUUUGCGACCACCCCUCACCUGAGUGGAGUCGAUCUUGGAGGGGUCUUUUCUUGAUUCUCUGAGCACGUGGCGCCACCUCAACUAUGAUCGGCAGAUGCACCCGGAGGACAGACUGCCACUCUGAGGACACCCAGGACCCAGGAGUUUAUAAUGUCAGACAGACUGCCAGAUCCGGACAGUGACCCAAAGUCUCCAAAGAAGAUUACGAGGCACCUCAGUUCCUGCACCUGGACCAGUGAGCGAGAUGCUCAGAUGUGAAACCUGCCGCCUGCCAGAACCUGGCCGAGACUGUGGACAAAGCUGCUGGACACUGGAAAAUUGAUUGCACCCCUUUGCCUAGACAAAACAAGAGUGCUAGGUUUAAAUGCAUGUGCCGCCAUGCACCGGAUGAAGCUACAUUCUAAACAGCUACC